UACGUAGGGUGCGAGCGUUUAAUCGGGAAUUACUGGGCGUAAAGCGUGCGCAGGCGGUUUUGUAAGCCAGAUGUGAAAUCCCCGGGCUUAACCUGGGAAUGGCAUUUGGGACUGCAAGGCUUGAGUGCGGCAGAGGAGACUAGAAUUCCUGGUGUAGCAGUGAAAUGCGUAGAUAUCAGGAGGAAUACCGAUGGCGAAGGCAGGUCUCUGGGCUGACACUGACGCUCAUGCACGAAAGCGUGGGGAGCAAACAGG
rnacentral:rRNA from 1 species